AAAAAAAUGAUUACAGGACAUGAAAUUUGGAAAAUGAUGGUCUACUCUACACAAAGCAUGUGGUAUCAUCAUGACGUGACAAAUAGAAACUCUUCAGUGAUAGGUUCACAAAGUGGGAGAGAAAAAUGUGACCAUAAAAUGCGUGUUCACAUGUUGGUCAGACCGUCACAGUUAGCCAAUUCACCGCGAGAGGAAACAAAGGUUGUUGAGCUAGCCCACUAACGUUAGCUACAGAAUUUCCGUGAACUCACAGCGAAGUUUACCUGUCAGAUGACAUCCGGGAUCCAACAAAUUGUUCUACUAUUCAUGAGAACAACCGGUCAUCCCAAGUUAAUCACACAACUAGCAGACCUGGGAAUUAGCACCUCCCCUCUGCAACUGGAUCAUGGACUUUCUGACCAAAAGAUGACAUCAUGUAAGGGACUGGGACCUCGACCAUGCAGGCGUAGGCCCAUUCGCCAUCGUUUGGACAAAAAGAAAAAUAGAUGCUCCCCAAUAACCUCUGAGAGCGUGAUUGCGCGAAGCUGACACACCGACAGACAAUGGCAGCUUUCUCUCUCGUCUGAUGUUCUUGUGUACGUACAUCUGUAUUCAGUCUCUUGUAUUGAUUUUUUAGGUGUCUUUGCUUGCAAACCGUCUGGCACUUGCUAGCUCUUGCUCACUUCACACACAAGGCACUGGGUCCAAUAGAGCAAUUUGAGAUGUUGAGAACUUCUGUUUGUUUGACAGCUGGGAUUGAUCAUGUGGCGAGGCAUUAUGUAAUUAAACAACAUCAAUGACUAA